rnacentral:misc_RNA from 1 species
AUAUGGCCUGCGCCGACAAUGCGCGCCGGGUAUUGUCACGCCUUAUGGCGGAGGAAAUGGAGGAGCCUGCUUCUCAACAGGAUGAAGGUAGGCCGCAUCGGCGAACCACAAUUUAGAGCGCAUCCCGAAAAGUGUGAAACGGUUUUCGGAAAAGAUGCGUGUCAAAACAAAGGAUUAGAGCGCCGAUCUGAUUCAAU